AUGGGCUGCAGGAUACCCUACUGGGUGGCUCUCUGUCUCUUGGGAGCAGUCUCCAUGGAUCCUGGAGUUAUCCAGACUCCAAAACAUCUGGUAACCGGGACAACAAGGAGUGUGACCCUGAAGUGCGAACAACAUCUGGGACAUAAGGCUAUGUACUGGUAUAAGCAGAGUGUUCAGAAGCCUCCAGAGCUCAUGCUUGCCUACAAUUACAAGGAUCUCUUUGAAAAUGCGACUGCCUCCAGUCGGUUCUUACCUGAUCGCCCAGACAACUCCCAGCUGGACCUUCAGAUAAAAGCCCUGGAGCCCGAGGACUCUGCCCUGUAUCUCUGUGCCAGCAGCGAAGACACGCCCUGCACCUUCAACUUCUCCCUGUGCACAAACCUCCUGGGUCUAAACCAGGAAGCUGUGGGGGCCACCAACGCUCAGCUCAACAUUUCCUGGAGGACCCCAUACUGA